UGUCCAGGAAUGGAAAUCGAACCCACAAUGUUCCGCUUACCAGGCAGAUGCCAUGUCCACUAGGCACCCAUUCCAGGAC